rnacentral:tRNA from 1 species
UAAGUUCUAAUAAUAGGGUAUCUAAUCCUAGUUUAUUAAUUAAUUUAGUGACCUCAA